UUCACUUAAACUUACAUCACUCCAAGAAUUUUCACAUUGACUUCACCGACAAUUAUAGUUCAAAAACUAUCAUACUCCACAGGAAGAAGAAGAGUAUUCUUCACUUGAAGCUAAACCACUCAAAGAAUUUCCACAUGUCAAAAAUUAGGUUGAAAACUUGUGGCGUAACUUUCAUGUUGUCAAGAAACUCUUCAACCACCGACAUAAUCUCACAACACACUUUACAUCAAUGUCAAUCAAUACUCAUGUACUAACCACUAACCAACAC
rnacentral:lncRNA from 1 species